AGCUCCAAUAGCGUAUAUUAAAGUUGUUGCAGUUAAAAAGCUCGUAGUUGGAUUUUGGUGUGGGUUGGGUUCUCCGCCGUAAGGCGUGUAGAUCAAUACCUCGACAUCCGUUCGUUUGAGCUUCUUGCUCUUUCGAACUCUUUACUUUGAGAAAAUUAGAAUGUUUCAAGUAGGCUUUCGCCUGAAUACUACAGCAUGGAAUAAUAAGAUAGGACUCUGGUUCCUUCU
rnacentral:rRNA from 1 species